rnacentral:rRNA from 1 species
AGCGAUUGCCUUAGUAGCGGCGAGCGAAACGGCAGAAGGGCAAACCGAAGAGUUUACUCUUCGGGGUUGUAGGACUGCAAUGUGGACUCAAAGAUUAUAGAAGAAUGAUUUGGGAAGAUCAGCCAAAGAGAGUAAUAGCCUCGUAUUUAAAAUAGUCUUUGUACUUAGCAGUAUCCUGAGUACGGCGGGACACGUGAAAUCCCGUCGGAAUCUGGGAGGACCAUCUCCCAACCCUAAAUACUCCCUAGUGACCGAUAGUGAACCAGUACCGUGAGGGAAAGGUGAAAAGCACCCCGGGAGGGGAGUGAAAUAGAACCUGAAACCGUGUGCCUACAACAAGUUCGAGCCCGUUAAUGGGUGAGAGCGUGCCUUUUGUAGAAUGAACCGGCGAGUUACGUUAUGAUGCGAGGUUAAGUUGAAGAGACGGAGCCGUAGGGAAACCGAGUCUGAAUAGGGCGCCUUAGUAUCAUGACGUAGACCCGAAACCAUGUGACCUACCCAUGAGCAGGUUGAAGGUGCGGUAAGACGCACUGGAGGACCGAACCAGGGCACGUUGAAAAGUGCUUGGAUGACUUGUGGGUAGCGGAGAAAUUCCAAACGAACUUGGAGAUAGCUGGUUCUCUCCGAAAUAGCUUUAGGGCUAGCGUCGACAUUAGAGAUUCUUGGAGGUAGAGCACUGUUUGGGUGAGGGGUCCAUCCCGGAUUACCAAUCUCAGAUAAACUCCGAAUGCCAAUGAAUUAUGGUCGGCAGUCAGACUGCGAGUGCUAAGAUCCGUAGUCGAAAGGGAAACAGCCCAGACCACCAGCUAAGGUCCCAAAAUAAUUGUUAAGUGGAAAAGGAUGUGGGGUUGCACAGACAACUAGGAUGUUAGCUUAGAAGCAGCUAUUCAUUCAAAGAGUGCGUAAUAGCUCACUAGUCGAGUGACCCUGCGCCGAAAAUGUACCGGGGCUAAAACAAUUUACCGAAGCUGUGGAUACCUUUAUAGGUAUGGUAGGAGAGCGUUCUAUGUGUGAUGAAGGUAUACCGUGAGGAGUGCUGGAACGCAUAGAAGUGAGAAUGCCGGUAUGAGUAGCGAAAGACAGGUGAGAAUCCUGUCCACCGUAAGACUAAGGUUUCCAGGGGAAGGCUCGUCCGCCCUGGGUUAGUCGGGACCUAAGGAGAGACCGAAAGGUGUAUCCGAUGGACAACAGGUUGAUAUUCCUGUACUAGAGUAUGUAGUGAUGGAGGGACGCAGUAGGCUAACUAAAGCAGACGAUUGGAAGAGUCUGUCUAAGCAGUGAGGUGUGAAUUGAGUCAAAUGCUUAAUUCUAUAACAUUGAGCUGUGAUGGGGAGCGAAGUUUAGUAGCGAAGUUAGUGACGUCACACUGCCAAGAAAAGCUUCUAGCGUUUAAACAUACUCUACCCGUACCGCAAACCGACACAGGUAGUCGAGGCGAGUAGCCUCAGGUGAGCGAGAGAACUCUCGUUAAGGAACUCGGCAAAAUGACCCCGUAACUUCGGGAGAAGGGGUGCUGACUUAAAGUCAGCCGCAGUGAAUAGGCCCAAGCAACUGUUUAUCAAAAACACAGCUCUCUGCUAAAUCGUAAGAUGAUGUAUAGGGGGUGACGCCUGCCCGGUGCUGGAAGGUUAAGAGGAGUGCUUAGCGUAAGCGAAGGUAUGAAUUGAAGCCCCAGUAAACGGCGGCCGUAACUAUAACGGUCCUAAGGUAGCGAAAUUCCUUGUCGGGUAAGUUCCGACCCGCACGAAAGGCGUAAUGAUUUGGGCACUGUCUCAACGAGAGACUCGGUGAAAUUUUAGUACCUGUGAAGAUGCAGGUUACCCGCGACAGGACGGAAAGACCCCAUGGAGCUUUACUGCAGUUUGAUAUUGAGUGUCUGUACCACAUGUACAGGAUAGGUAGGAGUCUAAGAGAUCGGGACGCCAGUUUCGAAGGAGACGCUGUUGGGAUACUACCCUUGUGUUAUGGCCACUCUAACCCAGAUAGGUGAUCCCUAUCGGAGACAGUGUCUGACGGGCAGUUUGACUGGGGCGGUCGCCUCCUAAAAGGUAACGGAGGCGCCCAAAGGUUCCCUCAGAAUGGUUGGAAAUCAUUCGCAGAGUGUAAAGGUAUAAGGGAGCUUGACUGCGAGAGCUACAACUCGAGCAGGGACGAAAGUCGGGCUUAGUGAUCCGGUGGUUCCGUAUGGAAGGGCCAUCGCUCAACGGAUAAAAGCUACCCUGGGGAUAACAGGCUUAUCUCCCCCAAGAGUUCACAUCGACGGGGAGGUUUGGCACCUCGAUGUCGGCUCGUCGCAUCCUGGGGCUGUAGUCGGUCCCAAGGGUUGGGCUGUUCGCCCAUUAAAGCGGCACGCGAGCUGGGUUCAGAACGUCGUGAGACAGUUCGGUCCCUAUCCGUCGCGGGCGUAGGAAAUUUGAGAGGAUCUGCUCCUAGUACGAGAGGACCAGAGUGGACUUACCGCUGGUGUACCAGUUGUCUUGCCAAAGGCAUCGCUGGGUAGCUAUGUAGGGAAGGGAUAAACGCUGAAAGCAUCUAAGUGUGAAACCCACCUCAAGAUGAGAUUUCCCAUGAUUAUAUAUCAGUAAGAGCCCUGAGAGAUGAUCAGGUAGAUAGGUUAGAAGUGGAAGUGUGGCGACACAUGUAGCGGACUAAUACUAAUAGCUCGAGGACUUAUCCAA